AUUGAACGCUGGCGGCAGGCCUAACACAUGCAAGUCGAGCGAGCGGCGGACGGGUGAGUAAUGUAUGGGGAUCUGCCCGUUAGAGGGGGAUAACUACUGGAAACGGUGGCUAAUACCGCAUACUAACGGAUGAACCCAUAUGGGAUUAGCUAGUAGGGGGGGUAAAGGCGCACCUAGGCGACGAUCUCUAGCUGGUCUGAGAGGAUGAUCAGCCACACUGGGACUGAGACACGGCCCAGACUCCUACGGGAGGCAGCAGUGGGGAAUAUUGCACAAUGGGCGCAACCCUGACGCAGCCAUGCCGCGUGAAUGAAGAAGGCCUUCGGGUUGUAAAGCACUUUCAGCGAGGAGGCGUUACCCGCAGAAGAAGCACCGGCUAACUCCGUGCCAGCAGCCGCGGUAAUUC
rnacentral:rRNA from 1 species